GUGUGCUCCGAUUAAGCUGUGAACGGGGCUGCCCUCUCCCGAUGAAUAAUUCCUCUGGCUGAACGCAGUUAGGUGAACUCAGUUAAAGCUAGAGCUCUCCAGCCCAGCCGCAAGCUACGCCUUUGCGUGAUCUCAAGAUUAACAGUAGACGCGUAGGAUUUCUGUAGGAUCUCGUCCAGCUCCUGAUUGCCGGGUGAGAGAUACCGCCGUAGGUAAAGCUGCUUUAAGGCAACACCGUUUCCUGCCUCCAUUGUGUUCCCCUGUUCUGUGGUCUGGAGACAAAGUCAGGGAACAAGACUGAGCUGAUCUCUGACUUUCUAGAGCUACACUUGAAAUGGACGGAUGGCACAUGAGGGACCGAACAGAGAGAGUGUCACACAUGACCAAGCCACGGAGAUGUGAAUGAAGUCUGAUGCUGCGGAGCGUGCCUGAAAUCAAAGGAAAGGUUAAUGAGACAUCGUCUCCACAGCAUGGAGUGUAUGAAGCGCUUCCACAAAUGGGAUGCCGUCCAUCUUUGUCAUCCCCCGGCAUGCUGGGCUGAGCAGGUGCUGCCGCUGUCUCCGUGGUAUCUCUAGAUGAGGAAACCAUCUCGGAGAAGUGAGACAAGACUGGGUCCUCGAUGGAUUGGAGGAUGCCCACUGCGUUGGUGAAGGUGAUCUUCUUUACUCAUCUACUGGUUCAAAUGCAAAUCUCUUCCAGAAACACCCUCACAGACACACCCAGAAGUAAUGUUUGACAGUGGUCUGGGCAUCCCUUAGCCCAGGAAAGUUGAUACAUAAGAGUAACCAGCACAAAUAACUGCAACUGAAGGAUGAAUGCUCCAUGUCUUCUCUGCCAGUUGGCGUUUAUCAGAGGACACUGGAAGAAGAGGGACAAAGGUGCCCGGAUGUUUGUCUGUGAGCCUAAGUCUAUAAUUCUCUGAAGCAAAGGUGCCAGUAAAGUUGCCUCAUAAAAAAGCAAACCUUCCAGAAUCUUCCACUGGUGAACUGUCACCUGCAAAGACUUCUGAGAGGGAAGAGAGAAGAUUGGAAAUGGAGCCGUGGGGAAAUGAAACAGGGACUCCAGAUGAAGACGUCGACACAGGUAAGAAAGAGAUGACACGACACUCCCGGAUGUUGGUGAUGAAAGAGCCUGGCCUAUCAUGUGGGCUUGGAGGCAGGGCCUCGGGAUCAUGUGGCCAUCAUUUCCAAGGCACUGGGUGAUAAGGCGGCUGGUGCUGAAUAGAAACACCAACAGAGAAUUGGAAAGAAGCACUUGGUAGGACGGUUCCCCCAAAACCCCCUCAAGCCUCUGCUUCCCUAAUUGAUAUGCUGUUCUGGAACAAUUCUGCCUGACACGGUGCCCCGGCAGCACAGAGAAAGGCAAGGGUCGGGACGGCUCAACCUACCUAUGCUGUGCGUGCCACCCCGUGCUGAUCCAAGUUGAACUCUCCGUCCGGUAUUCUCUGAUGCUGUUCCUGGGGUUAGGGACACUCCAGCCACACAAUCGCAGCUGACGACAUCUGCAAUCCUUCCUUCUAGUGAUGAAGCCAAUGUGUUGGCAAGAGGGAUGCUCUCCAGGACAAUUCCUGUGAGCCUGACUCAGAAGACCAGCAGUCUGUCCGUGAACCUGUUACCCUCGAGAAUUUGAUCUUCCUUCUGCAGUAUCUUGGGAUGGCCACUUCUUCCUCUUCUCUGACUUCCUAUCAGCUUUUCUUUUUCUUUUCUUUUUUUAACCAGGUUUUGUUACAGUUUAUUUUUAUUUUUUUAGUUUAAUUUAAUUUUAUUAUGUUAUGCUAGUCACCAUACAUCAUUAGUUUUGUGAUGUAGUGAUCCAUGAUUCAUGGCUUUCGUAUAACACCCAGCAGCUUUUCAAAUGGUGGAUUUAGAAAAACUAAAGUUAUUUUAGCAUUGAUUAUGUGGUCUCAGAUUCUCAUAACUAGUUUUCCUCCAGAUGAAUAUUGGGAAGAGUUUGGUAGCAAGCUAUACGAUGCGGGAGGAACACUGGAAUGGGAGCCCAAAUGUGUUGUAAACUGGGGCAGGUUACUUCAUCUCUCUGACACUUUGUUUCAUCCACUCUAGAUUAGAAUGUGGAUUAAAAUGCAUCUGAGUACUAAAGCCUAUAAAUCCUAAAAACUGUGCUCCAGAGGAGAAAACACACACAGGCAAAUGUGUAUUUAUUCACUCUUCCACCAUGCUUUUCUAGACUGGUUUGAGAGAGUUCUGAAUUCACCUAGUAAUAGCAUUAUCUUAAUUUCAUAUUGAAGGCACAGUUCCAAUAACUUAACCAUAAGACUUGUACACUGGCUGACUUCCAUCCUUUCCUUAAUAAAGUAGAUUAAUUAAUCCAGACAAUUACUGUCAAGCAAAGGAACAAGGGUGGACAUUCUCUGAGAAAUUUGGUGCUUGUACACCUGAUAUGGUUAAUUUGCAAGACCUCAAAUGGAACAUUUUAAUUAAUUAUUUCGGUUACUAUUAUAUUUAGAUAGUGCUGGUUGGGUAUAAAUUCUAUUAAGAUUACAAAGUUUGGGUCAAUUUACCAAUGAAAAGGAUGAGCCUCCUUCUCCCUUUUCUUUUUUCUUUCUAUAACCAUAGCAAUUAGAGAAAUUACGUCAUGAUAUUGGGCAAAUAAAUUAGUCAAUCCCAGCCCAAAAGUAGUUGAAAAGCAAACCAUUAGAACCCUCUCCCAAACAGAGGCCUGUUGGGAAGCAAUGUAUAAACAGAGCAAAGCUUAUGAAAUGAAAUAGACAGGAUAUAAAAUUUCCAUAUACACAGCCCCCCAACAAGGACUUUUCUUAUGUAUGUUGCCAUUACCUUGAUAAGAUUGGGAGUUGGCCAGUGGCUCUAUAAAUUUAAAGGAAAUAGUGACAAUUAGGUCCUUAGAGUACAUCCUCAUUCUUCCUUUAUUCACUUCAGGUUCAUUAUUUUGGAUUUUUCAUUUAUAUUUUUAUGUUUAUGGUCCUUGGAGGAAGCUGAGUACUAUAUUUUGACAGUGGAAUCUGAAAGAGCCACAAUUCUAAGUUCUGUAAAUACUUCUUGAUCAUAAAAAGAUGUCUUAGUUUUAACUUUGAUUACUAUCUCAUUGGUCAAGCCCUUUGGAUGAGAUAUAUAUCUUAUUGAAAGGUCAAUCCCCCAAAUUCAUGGUAUUGAGGUCUACUUUGCAGAGGUUCAAACUGUGGGUGGUUUAGUUCAUAUCCUUUACCCCAAAAUGAAAAUUCUGGGAUUCUCAUUAGCUUUCUCCCAAAGCAAACCUUUAAAGCUUCCCAACACAUGUAAAAACCAAACUUUAUGAGGAUCCAAGACCAGCCAGGAAAUUUUAACAAAGACUAAAUUUUAGAACAGCUAAUCUUUAGUUGUGCAAAGGACAUUGCUAAACUUCUGGGUUGGAAGGUAUCCUGAUCUACCUAAUUCUAUUUAUGAAACUGCAUAUGUGCUUUGAAACUCCAUUUAGAUCCAACUCUUUCAGCUAGAGAUGGAAACCAUAUGUGUGUCUAAGGCCCAUAUGUUAGGGCUUGGAGAGUCUUAGAUUUUGUUUUGAUUUCCAACUCAGCAUCAUUUUCAGAUUUGGAGGCAUCUGGGUAUGUCCUUGACCCUCUGUGUCAUGCGGCGAUAUUUUUGUUAUCCAUUCUUCUUCUUCUUAGAUGAUUCCCAUUUCCAUAUGCUUAGAAAGGUGUGGUGGCCUUUCGUUCUCAAAAGAUUACUCUAAGAAAAACAGAGAAUCAAAGUAAAUAUGUGGAAAAAUCAAGUUCACAGUCUUACACCUGGCUGAAAUAGUAUUUUGUUUAUUGUUUACAUGGAUUCAUUAGGACCUCUUUUUUCCUUCACUCACACUGCUUCUUUUGUGUAGUGUGGACUUCCAUUUCUCCUGCACACGGGCCCAAGGAUUGUAGGCAUACCCCAGUGGGAAGAUGGUUGGCUCACCCCCAAAUCUCUUUCUCCAUUCUUUUGCGGUGAUAAUCUAGUUGCAGUUGGGCAUGUGGCCUCUCAGCUAGGGACUGUCUUCCAAACGUCACCGGUAGGCAUGUGCUGAAGUUCUUACAGAUGAAAUGUGAGCAGUAGGGAUAGGAGACAUUUCAAGGCCUACGCCCUAACACACAGCCUUUCCCUUUGGUUGGUACUAAAAUACAGAAUGGCCUAAAACCAGCUUCACAUGCAGAUGAUGGCAGUAUCCUGGGGGUUGAUGGAUAAACGCAAUGGAAAGAACUGAACUCUUCUAAUUCCUGCAAGGAGCAGAGCCACCUGCUGACCCACCUUACUAUUGGAUUGGCAGGAAAAAAGCUUCUUUGUCCUUAAAAUUAGCUUUUACCCUAAAAUCAUGUGUAGAGCUUAGGGCUCAUGCAUCGCAUAACUAAAGGAAAAGAAAUUCUUUUCUACAUAGAACCCAGCGAGAUUCUUAGGUUGUGGGGACAAGGAUUCAACAGGAAAUCAGUUCUCUGAACAAAACAGUUACACAUCCAUUUGGGGAAAAAAUAGCCACUGGUUAUUUGGCCUGACGGUGUUGAGAGUCAGAAGAGUUGUUUAUUCAACAUAGGAACUCAUUUUUCUUCUUUGCCAGUUGGUCACUUAAAACUCUACUCAUGAAAUUUUUAACAAUUGAGUUAAUGGUGGGGGUAGUCGUUGUUUAAAAACAUCUCUUUAGUGAAAGGGUGCAGAUGUAAGAAUGAAAAACGAAGUAAGAUUUUCCUGAGGGAAGAAGGUCAGGGAGCUUCUCCUGGUAGCUCACCUCCCCAGGGGCGGGGCUUGGUGGGCAGCUCCUGGGGUCGGGCAGGUAAAAUCCGGGGGGACUUCAGUCUACGAUUUUGCCUGACUUAGCCUCAAGUCCCCAAACUGUAACAUGGGAAUGAUGACACCCAUCUCAUUCAUUUUUACAUUUGGUAGAUGAUCUGCACUAAUAUCUCUGUGGUAUCUGACACAUAGCAUGUAUUCCAUAAACGAUGUUCUGAGGUUGAGGGUGACUUCUCACAGGUUCCCAUUGCUGAUGGUGGUUACCGGGUAUGGGGUGUGGAGGCAAGGACAAAGAUCUGUGUUUCCAUGAGAGCGAAUAAGGAGGGGUUGGACUUCCAGACUGGCUUCCUUCUGAUUUAUUCAAGAUUUCAAGAACCAAGAUGUGCCAAGACUUUGAAAGAUCUCAAAAGAUUAAGAUGUUUUUAAACAUGAAAAAAUAUGCUCUAUGGGGGCGCCUGGGUAGCUCAGUUGGUUAGGCGACCAACUCUUGGUUUCGGCUCAGGUCCCAAUCUCAUGGGUCGUGAGACUGAGCCCCCCUCGUCUGGCUCUGCCCUCAGCGGAGAGUCUGCUUGAAGUUUCUCUCCCUCUGCCCCCCCCCUCCACUAGCAUACU